rnacentral:rRNA from 1 species
CCUACGGGAGGCAGCAGUGGGGACUAUGGGGCAAUGGGCGCAAGCCUGACCCAGCAACGCCGCGUGAAGGAAGAAGGCUUUCGGGUUGUAAACUUCUGUUAAGAGGGAAGAGCAGAAGAAGGUACCUCUUGAAUAAGCCACGGCGAACUACGUGCCAGCAGCCGCGGUAAUACGGAGGGUGCAAGCGUUGUCCGGAAUCAUUGGGCGUAAAGAGUUCGUAGGUGGCAUAUUAAGUCUGGUGUUAAAUGCAGAAGCUCAACUUCUGUUCGGCACUGGAUACUGGUAAGCUUGAAUGCGGUAGAGGUAAAGGGAAUUCCUGGUGUAGCGGUGAAAUGCGUAGAUAUCAGGAGGAACAUCGGUGGCGUCAGCGCUUUACUGGGCCGUAAUUGACACUGAGGAACGAAAGCCGGGGUAGCAAAUGGGAUUAGAUACCCCGGUAGUC